rnacentral:rRNA from 1 species
AGCAGCCGCGGUAAUUCCAGCUCCAAUAGCGUAUAUUAAAGUUGUUGCAGUUAAAAAGCUCGUAGUUGAAUUUCGGGAUCAAUACGUCGGUCGUACCUCGGUACGUACUAACGUUAUUGAUUUCUCCCUUCUGACGAACCGUGAUGUCAUUAAUUUGGUGUUACGGGGAGUUAGGACUGUUACUUUGAAAAAAUUAGAGUGUUUAAAGCAAGCAAUCGCUCGAAUACAUUAGCAUGGAAUAAUGAAAUAGGACGUUCGAACCUAUUUUGUUGGUUUUUAGGAUCGACGUAAUGAUUAAUAGGGAUAGUUGGGGGCAUUAGUAUUCAAUUGUCAGAGGUGAAAUUCUUGGAUUUAUUGAAGACUAACUACUGCGAAAGCAUUUGCCAAGGAUGUUUUCAUUAAUCAAGAACGAAAGUUAGGGGAUCGAAGACGAUCAGAUACCGUCGUAGUCUUAACCAUAAACUAUGCCGACUAGGGAUCGGAUGAUGUUAAUUUUUUAAUGACUCAUUCGGCGCCUUAC